GCCGGGCAAGGCUCUACAACUAGCUCCCUUUGAAUCCCCCAGGGCGGAAACGCAGCAAGGGUAAAAGGUUGAUGCGGUGUGAUAGAGUUCUUGC
rnacentral:SRP_RNA from 1 species